rnacentral:rRNA from 1 species
UGGGGAAGUAUUGCACAAUGGGCGCAAGCCUGAUGCAGCCAUGCCGCGUGUGUGAAGAAGGCCUUCGGGUUGUAAAGCACUUUCAGCGGGAGGAAAGCAGGUGAGGUUAAUAACCUCAUCGAUUGACGUUACCCGCAGAAGAAGCACCGGCUAACUCCGUGCCAGCAGCCGCGGUAAUACGGAGGGUGCAAGCGUUAAUCGGAAUUACUGGGCGUAAAGCGCACGCAGGCGGUCUGUCAAGUCGGAUGUGAAAUCCCCGGGCUCAACCUGGGAACUGCAUUCGAAACUGGCAGGCUAGAGUCUUGUAGA